rnacentral:rRNA from 1 species
UACGUAGGGGUGCAAGCGUUGUCCGGAAUUAUUGGGCGUAAAGAGCUCGUAGGCGGUCUGUCGCGUCGGCUGUGAAAACCUGGGGCUUAACUCCGGGCCUGCAGCCGAUACGGGCAGACUAGAGUUCGGCAGGGGAGACUGGAAUUCCUGGUGUAGCGGUGAAAUGCGCAGAUAUCAGGAGGAACACCGGUGGCGAAGGCGGGUCUCUGGGCCGAAACUGACGCUGGAGGAGCGAAAGCGUGGGGAGCAAACAGG